rnacentral:rRNA from 1 species
UUGGCCUCGAAUCAGGCGGGACUACCCGCUGAACUUAA